UUGAGUUCAGCGGGUAUCCCUACCUGAUCCGAGGUCAAGAGUUAAAAAAGGCUUACUGGACGCCACCGUAUUGCUAACAAAGCGCGUUUUGUGCUGCGCUCCGAAAUCUAUACGCCGGCUGCCAAUUGCUUUAAGGCGAGUCCACGCGCAAAGGCGGGACAAACACCCAACACCAAGCAGAGCUUGAAGGUACAAAUGAC
rnacentral:misc_RNA from 1 species